rnacentral:misc_RNA from 1 species
CGCUUCUGCGCAAGCUAUGCCUCGUAGAGGUGAUCAUCGCGCGCCCCACGCCAAUCCCGGUCCCGGAGAAAACGCUUUCCUGCUCGGUGGUGGUCCCCGCGCGCAACGAGCGGGGGAACAUCGAGGACGCAGUCCUGCGGAUCCCGGUAAUGGGGAGGCACACCGAGAUCAUCUUCGUCGAGGGGAACUCCCGCGACGGGACGGCGGAGGGAAUCGAGCGCGUGAUCGCCGCACACCCGGAACGGACGAUGAAGCUUGUUCGUCAGGGGAGCGGCGUGGGAAAGGGAGACGCUGUCCGCAAGGGGUUCGUGGUCGCCACCGGGGAUGUCCUGAUGAUCCUCGAUGCCGACCUAACCGUACCCCCAGAGGAACUGCCGAAAUUCCUCAGGACUCUUGCGUCCGGGCGCGGAGAGUACGUCCACGGGUCGCGGCUGGUCUAUCCGAUGGAAAAGCAGGCGAUGCGGUUCCUGAACACCCUCGGGAACAAGUUCUUCAGUCUCGCGUUCACCUGGCUGCUUGACCAGCGGUUCAAGGACACGCUCUGCGGGACGAAGGUUCUCUACCGGCACGACUACGAGCGAAUCGCCGCGGGGAGGGGCUACUUCGGCGACUUCGACCUGAUCUUCGGGGCGGCCAAGCUCGACCUGAAGAUUGUGGAGAUCCCGAUCCGGUAUCGGGAGCGCAUGUACGGCACGACGCAGAUUUCCCGGUUCCGCCACGGGUGGCUGCUGCUGCGGAUGUGCAUCUUCCCGCUGUUCCGGAUCAAGUUCGUCUGAUCCCAUGCCCAAGAACGACGUCCGGAACCACUUCGAAGGGAUUGCCGGAGAGUACGACCGGUGGAAGGAUAAGUCGGCGUACUAUUACCGCCUCCUAGCGGGGAUCUACCGGGGCAUGUCCCGAAAGGGGCGUCGGUUCUGGAGAUCGGCUGCGGCACGGGGACGUUGCUGGCCGGCUUGCGGCCGACGCGCGGGGUGGGCGUGGACGUCUCCCCGAAGAUGGUGAAGAUCGCCGCCG